GAAAAAGAACCUGAAACCGUGUACGUACAAGCAGUGGGAGCACCCUUUGGGUGUGACUGCGUACCUUUUGUAUAAUGGGUCAGCGACUUAUAUUCUGUAGCAAGGUUAACCGAAUAGGGGAGCCGGAGGGAAACCGAGUCUUAACCGGGCGUUAAGUUGCAGGGUAUAGACCCGAAACCCGGUGAUCUAGCCAUGGGCAGGUUGAAGGUUGGGUAACACUAACUGGAGGACCGAACCGACUAAUGUUGAAAAAUUAGCGGAUGACCUGUGGCUGGGGGUGAAAGGCCAAUCAAACCGGGAGAUAGCUGGUUCUCCCCGAAAGCUAUUUAGGUAGCGCCUCGUGAAUUCAUCUCCGGGGGUAGAGCACUGUUUCGGCUAGGGGGCCAUCCCGGCUUACCAACCCGAUGCAAACUGCGAAUACCGGAGAAUGUUAUCACGGGAGACACACGGCGGGUGCUAACGUCCGUCGUGAAGAGGGAAACAACCCAGACCGCCAGCUAAGGUCCCAAAGUCAUGGUUAAGUGGGAAACGAUGUGGGAAGGCCCAGACAGCCAGGAUGUUGGCUUAGAAGCAGCCAUCAUUUAAAGAAAGCGUAAUAGCUCACUGGUCGAGUCGGCCUGCGCGGAAGAUGUAACGGGGCUAAACCAUGCACCGAAGCUGCGGCAGCGACACUGUGUGUUGUUGGGUAGGGGAGCGUUCUGUAAGCCUGUGAAGGUGUGUCGUGAGGC
rnacentral:rRNA from 1 species